GGGCUUGUAGCUCAGCGGUUAGAGCGGCCGGCUCAUAACCGGUUGGUCGCAGGUUCGAAUCCUGCCAGGCCCA
rnacentral:tRNA from 1 species